rnacentral:tRNA from 1 species
GCCCGGAUGGUGGAAUUGGUAGACACGCUAGGUUCAGGUCCUAGUGCCGUAAAAAGCGUGUGAGUUCGAGUCUCAUCCCGGGCA